GCUCAGAUUGCACGCUGGCGGCAGGCCUAACACAUGCAAGUCGAGCGGUAGCACAGAGAGCUUGCUCUCGGGUGACGAGCGGCGGACGGGUGAGUAAUGUCUGGGAAACUGCCUGAUGGAGGGGGAUAACUACUGGAAACGGUAGCUAAUACCGCAUAACGUCGCAAGACCAAAGUGGGGGACCUUCGGGCCUCAUGCCAUCAGAUGUGCCCAGAUGGGAUUAGCUAGUAGGUGGGGUAACGGCUCACCUAGGCGACGAUCCCUAGCUGGUCUGAGAGGAUGACCAGCCACACUGGAACUGAGACACGGUCCAGACUCCUACGGGAGGCAGCAGUGGGGAAUAUUGCACAAUGGGCGCAAGCCUGAUGCAGCCAUGCCGCGUGUGUGAAGAAGGCCUUCGGGUUGUAAAGCACUUUCAGCGGGGAGGAAGGCGUUAAGGUUAAUAACCUUGGCGAUUGACGUUACCCGCAGAAGAAGCACCGGCUAACUCCGUGCCAGCAGCCGCGGUAAUACGGAGGGUGCAAGCGUUAAUCGGAAUUACUGGGCGUAAAGCGCACGCAGGCGGUCUGUCAAGUCGGAUGUGAAAUCCCCGGGCUCAACCUGGGAACUGCAUUCGAAACUGGCAGGCUAGAGUCUUGUAGAGGGGGGUAGAAUUCCAGGUGUAGCGGUGAAAUGCGUAGAGAUCUGGAGGAAUACCGGUGGCGAAGGCGGCCCCCUGGACAAAGACUGACGCUCAGGUGCGAAAGCGUGGGGAGCAAACAGGAUUAGAUACCCUGGUAGUCCACGCCGUAAACGAUGUCGAUUUGGAGGUUGUGCCCUUGAGGCGUGGCUUCCGGAGCUAACGCGUUAAAUCGACCGCCUGGGGAGUACGGCCGCAAGGUUAAAACUCAAAUGAAUUGACGGGGGCCCGCACAAGCGGUGGAGCAUGUGGUUUAAUUCGAUGCAACGCGAAGAACCUUACCUGGUCUUGACAUCCACAGAACUUUCCAGAGAUGGAUUGGUGCCUUCGGGAACUGUGAGACAGGUGCUGCAUGGCUGUCGUCAGCUCGUGUUGUGAAAUGUUGGGUUAAGUCCCGCAACGAGCGCAACCCUUAUCCUUUGUUGCCAGCGGUCCGGCCGGGAACUCAAAGGAGACUGCCAGUGAUAAACUGGAGGAAGGUGGGGAUGACGUCAAGUCAUCAUGGCCCUUACGACCAGGGCUACACACGUGCUACAAUGGCAUAUACAAAGAGAAGCGACCUCGCGAGAGCAAGCGGACCUCAUAAAGUAUGUCGUAGUCCGGAUUGGAGUCUGCAACUCGACUCCAUGAAGUCGGAAUCGCUAGUAAUCGUAGAUCAGAAUGCUACGGUGAAUACGUUCCCGGGCCUUGUACACACCGCCCGUCACACCAUGGGAGUGGGUUGCAAAAGAAGUAGGUAGCUUAACCUUCGGGAGGGCGCUUACCACUUUGUGAUUCA
rnacentral:rRNA from 1 species